rnacentral:rRNA from 1 species
GAUGAACGCUGGCGGCGUGCCUAAUACAUGCAAGUCGAGCGAACAGACGAGGAGCUUGCUCCUCUGACGUUAGCGGCGGACGGGUGAGUAACACGUGGAUAACCUACCUAUAAGACUGGGAUAACUUCGGGAAACCGGAGCUAAUACCGGAUAAUAUAUUGAACCGCAUGGUUCAAUAGUGAAAGACGGUUUUGCUGUCACUUAUAGAUGGAUCCGCGCCGCAUUAGCUAGUUGGUAAGGUAACGGCUUACCAAGGCGACGAUGCGUAGCCGACCUGAGAGAGUGGUCGGCCGCACUGGAGCGUGGACACGGUCCAGACUCCUACGGGAGGCAGCAGUAGGGAAUCUGCGGCAAUGGGCGGAAGCCUGACGGAGCAAGGCCGCGUGAGUGAUGAAGGUCUUCGGAUCGUAAAACUCUGUUAUUAGGGAAGAACAAAUGUGUAAGUAACUAUGCACGUCUUGACGGUACCUAAUCAGAAAGCCACGGCUAACUACGUG